AUGAUGGUACACACAUCGGAUGGUGCUGCAUGGAAACACUUCCAUGCAUUGCAUGAUGAAAAAGCGGCAGAUCCAAGGAAUCCUCGUGUAGUUGUCAGCACGGAUGGGUUCAAUGUGUUUGGUAUGAUGGCAGCCCAAUACAGUUGUUGGCCUGUAUUUGUCAUUCCACUCAAGCUCCCCCCCGGACAGAUUAUGCAAAGAAAGAACAUUUUCCUGACGUUGAUAAUUCCGGGCCCCAACUAUCCGGGGAAGAAUAUGAAUGUGUACAUGCAGCCGCUUAAGGAUGAACUGCAAGAAGCUUGGGAUAAUGGGAUCAAGACAUACGACGCCGCUACAAAAAAAACUUCCUAA
rnacentral:rRNA from 1 species